rnacentral:rRNA from 1 species
GCAAGUCGAGGGGUAGGGUUACUUCGGUAAUCUGAGACCGGCGCACGGGUGCGUAACGCGUAUGCAAUCUACCUUUUACUAUGGGAUAGCCCAGAGAAAUUUGGAUUAAUACCAUAUAGUAUAUUUGAAUGGCAUCGUUUGAAUAUUAAAGAUUUAUCGGUAAAAGAUGAGCAUGCGUCCCAUUAGUUAGUUGGUGUGGCAACGGCAUACCAAGACGAUGAUGGGUAGGGGUCCUGAGAGGGAGAUCCCCCACACUGGUACUGAGACACGGACCAGACUCCUACGGGAGGCAGCAGUGAGGAAUAUUGGUCAAUGGAGGCAACUCUGAACCAGCCAUGCCGCGUGCAGGAUGACGGUCCUAUGGAUUGUAAACUGCUUUUGUACGGGAAAGAAAACAAACUACGAGUAGUUAAUUGACGGUACCGUAAGAAUAAGGAUCGGCUAACUCCGUGCCAGCAACCGCGGUAAUACGGAGGAUCCAAGCGUUAUCCGGAAUCAUUGGGUUUUAAAGGGUCCGUANGCGGGCCUUUUAAGUCAGUGGUGAAGUUUUUGGCUUAACUAGGACACUGCCAUUGAUACUGUAGGGCUUGAAUAUCUGUGAAGUAACUAGAAUAUGUAGUGUAGCGGUGAAAUGCUUAGAUAUUACAUGGAAUACCGAUUGCGAAGGCAGGUUACUAACAGAUGAUUGACGCUGAUGGACGAAAGCGUGGGUAGCGAACAGGAUUAGAUACCCUGGUAGUCCACGCCGUAAACGAUGGAUACUAGCUGUUUGGUUUUCGGACUGAGUGGCUAAGCGAAAGUGAUAAGUAUCCCACCUGGGGAGUACGGUCGCAAGACUGAAACUCAAAGGAAUUGACGGGGGCCCGCACAAGCGGUGGAGCAUGUGGUUUAAUUCGAUGAUACGCGAGGAACCUUACCAGGGCUUAAUGUAGAUUGACAGAUUUGGAAACAGAUUCUUCUUCGGACAAUUUACAAGGUGCUGCAUGGUUGUCGUCAGCUCGUGCCGUGAGGUGUCAGGUUAAGUUCCUAUAACGAGCGCACCCCUGUUGUUAGUUGCCAGCACGUAAUGGUGGGAACUCUAGCAAGACUGCCAGUGUAACUGUGANGAAGGUGGGGAUGACUCAA